rnacentral:rRNA from 1 species
GGGUUGUGAGGUUAAGCGACUAAGCGUACACGGUGGAUGCCCUGGCAGUCAGAGGCGAUGAAGGACGUGCUAAUCUGCGAUAAGCGUCGGUAAGGUGAUAUGAACCGUUAUAACCGGCGAUUUCCGAAUGGGGAAACCCAGUGUGUUUCGACACACUAUCAUUAACUGAAUCCAUAGGUUAAUGAGGCGAACCGGGGGAACUGAAACAUCUAAGUACCCCGAGGAAAAGAAAUCAACCGAGAUUCCCCCAGUAGCGGCGAGCGAACGGGGAGCAGCCCAGAGCCUGAAUCAGUGUGUGUGUUAGUGGAAGCGUCUGGAAAGGCGCGCGAUACAGGGUGACAGCCCCGUACACAAAAAUGCACAUGCUGUGAGCUCGAUGAGUAGGGCGGGACACGUGGUAUCCUGUCUGAAUAUGGGGGGACCAUCCUCCAAGGCUAAAUACUCCUGACUGACCGAUAGUGAACCAGUACCGUGAGGGAAAGGCGAAAAGAACCCCGGCGAGGGGAGUGAAAAAGAACCUGAAACCGUGUACGUACAAGCAGUGGGAGCACGCUUCGGCGUGUGACUGCGUACCUUUUGUAUAAUGGGUCAGCGACUUAUAUUCUGUAGCAAGGUUAACCGAAUAGGGGAGCCGAAGGGAAACCGAGUCUUAACUGGGCGUUAAGUUGCAGGGUAUAGACCCGAAACCCGGUGAUCUAGCCAUGGGCAGGUUGAAGGUUGGGUAACACUAACUGGAGGACCGAACCGACUAAUGUUGAAAAAUUAGCGGAUGACUUGUGGCUGGGGGUGAAAGGCCAAUCAAACCGGGAGAUAGCUGGUUCUCCCCGAAAGCUAUUUAGGUAGCGCCUCGUGAAUUCAUCUCCGGGGGUAGAGCACUGUUUCGGCAAGGGGGUCAUCCCGACUUACCAACCCGAUGCAAACUGCGAAUACCGGAGAAUGUUAUCACGGGAGACACACGGCGGGUGCUAACGUCCGUCGUGAAGAGGGAAACAACCCAGACCGCCAGCUAAGGUCCCAAAGUCAUGGUUAAGUGGGAAACGAUGUGGGAAGGCCCAGACAGCCAGGAUGUUGGCUUAGAAGCAGCCAUCAUUUAAAGAAAGCGUAAUAGCUCACUGGUCGAGUCGGCCUGCGCGGAAGAUGUAACGGGGCUAAACCAUGCACCGAAGCUGCGGCAGCGACACUGUGUGUUGUUGGGUAGGGGAGCGUUCUGUAAGCCUGUGAAGGUGUACUGUGAGGUAUGCUGGAGGUAUCAGAAGUGCGAAUGCUGACAUAAGUAACGAUAAAGCGGGUGAAAAGCCCGCUCGCCGGAAGACCAAGGGUUCCUGUCCAACGUUAAUCGGGGCAGGGUGAGUCGACCCCUAAGGCGAGGCCGAAAGGCGUAGUCGAUGGGAAACAGGUUAAUAUUCCUGUACUUGGUGUUACUGCGAAGGGGGGACGGAGAAGGCUAUGUUGGCCGGGCGACGGUUGUCCCGGUUUAAGCGUGUAGGCUGGUUUUCCAGGCAAAUCCGGAAAAUCAAGGCUGAGGCGUGAUGACGAGGCACUACGGUGCUGAAGCAACAAAUGCCCUGCUUCCAGGAAAAGCCUCUAAGCAUCAGGUAACAUCAAAUCGUACCCCAAACCGACACAGGUGGUCAGGUAGAGAAUACCAAGGCGCUUGAGAGAACUCGGGUGAAGGAACUAGGCAAAAUGGUGCCGUAACUUCGGGAGAAGGCACGCUGAUAUGUAGGUGAAGCGACUUGCUCGUGGAGCUGAAAUCAGUCGAAGAUACCAGCUGGCUGCAACUGUUUAUUAAAAACACAGCACUGUGCAAACACGAAAGUGGACGUAUACGGUGUGACGCCUGCCCGGUGCCGGAAGGUUAAUUGAUGGGGUUAGCGCAAGCGAAGCUCUUGAUCGAAGCCCCGGUAAACGGCGGCCGUAACUAUAACGGUCCUAAGGUAGCGAAAUUCCUUGUCGGGUAAGUUCCGACCUGCACGAAUGGCGUAAUGAUGGCCAGGCUGUCUCCACCCGAGACUCAGUGAAAUUGAACUCGCUGUGAAGAUGCAGUGUACCCGCGGCAAGACGGAAAGACCCCGUGAACCUUUACUAUAGCUUGACACUGAACAUUGAGCCUUGAUGUGUAGGAUAGGUGGGAGGCUUUGAAGUGUGGACGCCAGUCUGCAUGGAGCCGACCUUGAAAUACCACCCUUUAAUGUUUGAUGUUCUAACGUGGACCCGUGAUCCGGGUUGCGGACAGUGUCUGGUGGGUAGUUUGACUGGGGCGGUCUCCUCCUAAAGAGUAACGGAGGAGCACGAAGGUUGGCUAAUCCUGGUCGGACAUCAGGAGGUUAGUGCAAUGGCAUAAGCCAGCUUGACUGCGAGCGUGACGGCGCGAGCAGGUGCGAAAGCAGGUCAUAGUGAUCCGGUGGUUCUGAAUGGAAGGGCCAUCGCUCAACGGAUAAAAGGUACUCCGGGGAUAACAGGCUGAUACCGCCCAAGAGUUCAUAUCGACGGCGGUGUUUGGCACCUCGAUGUCGGCUCAUCACAUCCUGGGGCUGAAGUAGGUCCCAAGGGUAUGGCUGUUCGCCAUUUAAAGUGGUACGCGAGCUGGGUUUAGAACGUCGUGAGACAGUUCGGUCCCUAUCUGCCGUGGGCGCUGGAGAACUGAGGGGGGCUGCUCCUAGUACGAGAGGACCGGAGUGGACGCAUCACUGGUGUUCGGGUUGUCAUGCCAAUGGCACUGCCCGGUAGCUAAAUGCGGAAGAGAUAAGUGCUGAAAGCAUCUAAGCACGAAACUUGCCCCGAGAUGAGUUCUCCCUGACCCUUUAAGGGUCCUGAAGGAACGUUGAAGACGACGACGUUGAUAGGCCGGGUGUGUAAGCGCAGCGAUGCGUUGAGCUAACCGGUACUAAUGAACCGUGAGGCUUAACCUUACAACGCCGAAGGUGUUU